UCCUAAAAUAAAAUAACAAUGCUAUAUUGUUGCUAUGGAACCAAUGGCUGGGUUUGUUUAUGACAUGUUUUAAACUCAACAGCAUUAUAAUUAAUUUAAGUUUAGUAGAAUUAAAUAGACAAGAUGACCUGAUACCUGGUGGUCUUAAUCAACAGAGGAUGAAGAUGAAGCACCACACCUUUGAAAAAUCCAUUAAUCAAAACAAAUUACAGUAUAUGAAGAACAUCAAAGCCAGAGCCUGCGUGCAUUCAAAUAAUCAUAGGGAAGAGCAAUCUAGCUGCCAUGGCGUAGGAGGAAGGAAAAUUGGGAGUAGCACUGGAGGGACCAGCAGCAAUAGCAGGAAAAAUACAGGAAUGGGCUGCUGGGGGUUCGGGAGAACCUCUAGCUAAGAUUCUGUGCAGUUCGGACAACCCCCCAAAUUCCACUCCUGGCUGGCCUCUCCCAUCCGCCCCUCCCAGGAGUUCCUACACAGCCUGUUUUGGAUGCGGGACAAAAGGCUACUGGACCACAGCCUUCCAACACACCCAUUCACGCAACCCAAGAAAGCACACUAUGCAGUGGAGAAUGUUGUGUUCCGCCAGCAGCCUGUGGAGCUAGCAGCGGAGUCGGACAAUGACUCUUCAUUGGAGGUAGAGAUGGGGCCAGGGGCAUCUGGGAGCGAUGCACGGACUCCAGAGCCUCCAGAGGCAGACAGCAGAGAAACAGGAUGAGCCUGUUCCUAGUGCAUGCAUGCAAAGAGCUGCCAGAAGGCAAGAGCAGCUAAAGCAAAAAGGACGACUCGAGAGUAAGGCCAGGAAAUGAUUGGCCCCUCCCAUAAGGCUUAAAAGAGCAGCAACGGUUCUUGGGGUCUUCGUAGGAAAGCAAGGUUGCUACAAUUGUUUCUAGUCGGCAUCUCUUGUUUCUGAACUUUGUGGAGCUUUGCCAAGAAAAGCCUUUGGCAGGGUGCCAAAGGAGACAAAGGUUUAUGAUAAGGCCGAAGGACUUUUUCUGAAGAUUUGUUUUGGACUUAAUUUGGACUAAGCUGACAAUGAAGUAAUUCUCAGUGUUCUAAUAAAAUACGUUUGUUUAGGACCAAUUGUGUCUGGUAAUAGCCCAAGUAGCCUAGGUCACAACAGUGAAAUCUUCUCUGGUUUGCCACUGGUUUGUUGCCUGUGCAUGCGUGCCAAACGCAUGCUGUACAUGCAUGCACAAUGCAUGCUAGAUGCACGCUGCGCAUGCGCAUUCACAGUCCACACCAAACGCAUGCUUUGCAUGGAAAAAGGAGGCUUGGGAAGGUAAGUAGAACAGCGAGGGGGGGAAACAGCUGUGCCGCGCGAUUUAGAUUCACUAGAAAGCAGGAUUUCCUUUAAUCAUGCAACAUAGCUGAUUGUUGGAAAUACCGGUUCGGAGGAACUGGUAGCUUUUUCUUUUUUACUGCCGGUUUGCCCGAACCGAUAGUCUUUAUCACUAUCGGUUCUCCCGAACCGGUGCAAACUGAUAGCAUUUCACCGCUGACACUAUGUCACAAAUUAUGUCCCUUGGAUACACUUUUUAGAUAUACUUGGAUUAUUUAAGGAUUUUUUUUCAUUUUCUUUCUUGGACUGUACCCUGGAUAGUAAAAGAGAAUAUUAAAAAACAAAUCUCUUUAGAAAUAUCUAUUUGUCAGAUUUGUGCCACUCCAUAAAAUAACCAAAUAUUCUUGAUUGAUCUAACUCAGUAUAAGCCAAAUUCCUUUCUUCAUUCAAGUGAGCUGGGAAAAAAAAAAAAGUAAGAAUAUACAGCAUGGCCUAUUCCUCAUUUUUACAGGUAUACAUAUGGUUGUAAAUUGUAUAUUUGAUUUAUUCUCUUUCAAUAUGUUUGAUGGGAUAUGAGCAUUUCAAUGUCAGAACAGUUAUGGAGGAUACUGAAGAAGGAUGAGUCACUUGCUGUACUACCUUCUUGUUCUCUUUAAGAAUGUUGGUAAUUGUUUAAAUGACCUUGAUAUAUUUUAACCCCAGAAUACUAUGAAGUUGGCUUGUUCCUUCUUCUCUAAUUCUGAAGAUCAGCCAAUUCUUUUUAUCAAGACCCAGUACCGAUGUGGAAAGAAUAAACAGCAUAAACAGGCAGAUAACUUGAAAUAUACUUCAGUGAGGAAUUUCUCUACUUUAUUCAUUUUUUCUAUUUAAAAACAAAGAAAGUUGAAUUUACCCCACAAUAAAUAAAUCAUUUCAACCACAGAUCUGCUGUGUAUGGCAAACUGUCCUCUCCAUGUGAUUAACUGGAGAAGUGUGAGUCAGACCUGAGUUGUAGCUUAAAGUAUCCAUUUUCAUAUGUCCAAUUUUGUAUUUUAUUAGCUCUGAAUAUUUAAUAUAUUUUUGGUUGUCCACGAUGUGGGUGCCCUUUUCCUAUUUACCAAGAAGCUCUGUCCCAGGGAUUCUUCCAUGGUUUCUGGUUUUUAAAGUUUAGGCGGACUAUUUUAUUUCUCCAUUUUAGUUCAAAGUUGGAAUGAAUUUUAUUAAAAAUUAAUAUAUUUUAAAUUAAUGAAUUACCACUGCUACUUAGACCCUGAUUUUUGUAGCUGUUCUGAAUUGCUAUCUUUUAUUACUUCAUUAUUUAUUGAUUAGUUGAACUAGUUGAGUGCUUCAUAUUCAGAUAUACUGUAUACCAUAAUUUUACAUUUAACUUUUGGUCACUAUUUUAAGUGUUAUGUAAGCUACUUUGGAGAAGGUUCUAUUUUAACAGACAGCAUAAAUAAAUAAACUUAAAGAAUAUAGACUCUGAGGACUUAUUCAUUACUUCAUAUCCUUUCGACCAAAGAGACCAAGAUGACAUUGUUUUCUAUCUAGACUUUCUUCAUAAUGUUGCCUUAAAAAUGCCCUUCUUAAACACCCACAAUAAGCUUUAUGGCUCAGUGGGAACCUGGAUCUUGCUCUAGCAAUGAUUCAACCCAUUAUAACUAGAGGGGGAAUUGCUUACCAAAAGAAGCUGUUUUCAAUUGCAUUCCCUGCUGACACAUUCUCCCGGCUUUUAGUGUCAAAAGCGAAUUCAUGCCUCAAGUAGGUUUUUUUGGAUCCUAAAGCAAGACUGGACACAAUCCAAUAUUGAAUUAAGUGCACUUAACUCUGUCUCUAUUGAAUGACUACUCUAAUGUGAUCUGCUAUGGCAUGACGUCCCACUUUCACUCCUUCGGCCAGUUAAGACAGAUGAAUAUAUUUAUGAAUAAGAUUAUUCAAUCCUAGAAUAUUGUUCAAGAAAAUACUUUUAAUGUCAAUGUAAUGACAUCAACCUUCAGUAAUCUGCAAUGGGCUUGUUAAGUUUGCAACAUCAAAAAGCUGAAUAUUUAAAUAAGAUUAAAGAGGACAUUCAUGACUUUCUAUAAUAUUAGACCUCUUCACCCAAUCUGUGUGUUCUCCAUUUAUGGAGACAUUAAUUUCCAGAAAUCUAAGCAAUUUGCCACACUGGCUGAAGGAUUCUGAGAAUUCAAGUCUACCCAUCUGAAGGGGCUUGUACUUCCAAGCCCCCUGCACUUUUGGAAAAGUGCAAAGAACAGCAACAAAGAUGAUUAAAGGCCUUGAGACUAAAACAUGUAAAGGACAGGAAUUGGAUAUGGCUAGUUUAGAGAAAAUAAGGACUAGGGGUGGCAUGGUAGCAGUAUUCCAGUAUUUUACAGGUUGCCACAAAGAAGAAGGGGUCAACUUAUUUUCCAAAACACCAGAAGGCAAGACAAGAAACAAUGGAUGGAAACUAAUCAAGGUGAGAAGCAACUUGGACUUAAGGAGAACAAUUAAGCACUGGAAUAGCUUGCCUUCAGAAGUUUUGGAUGCUUCAUCUCUGGAGGUUUUUAAGAAGAGUUUGGACAGCCACUUGUCUGAAAUGGUAUAGGAUUUUCUGGUUGAGCAGGGGGUUGAACUAAAAGACCUCCAAGAUCUCUCCCAGCUCUAUUCUAAUUGAGUGUCCUGAAGGUGCUUUUUAAAGAGGCAACGGGACUUUCUGGUUUUUCUUUGAAGCUGAAGAAUCGAAAUGUCUUCAAAGAAAAACCAGAAAGUCCAGUUGCCUCUUGAAAAAAGCACCUUUGGGACAAACAUGACCUGGAUGACUGAGAAUCUCUGCAGACAUUCUAACUGGUUAAUUCUGGAAAAAAACAACUUUUUAUCCUUCAGUCUGCAUAUCUUCAGUUUUAGUGGACAAUCACAUCUUGUCCCAGCAACCAUUAUUAUAUUUAAUAGUGCAUACAUAUUUUGAAAUGUGAUGAAAAGGAUGAAAUAUGUAAUUUAGAUAUUUAUAAUUUUAAGCAUCAAAGACCAAAACAAUUGUAUUAAAAAUCAGAGAAAGUCAAUGUAGACAACUGAAAAUUGCAAAUAUUGACAGAAGGUAUCAAAAGACCAAAACUGCUUGUAUUUCAAUGCAGUAUCUACUAGAAAACUGUUUAUGUCUUAAAGGAGUUAUUGUUGGCCAGGAGUUAUAACCACACAAAGAAAUGGCAAGAAUAACACAGGAAUGUUGUAAUUUAUUAUCAUUUAAUAUUCUACUUUUUGGUUAAAACUUCCAGCAUCUACUUUUUACUUAUGAAACUGUGACUAGGAAAAAAAUGUUCUCUGUUUUACAUUUUCAUCUAGAUAUAUACAAUAGUACUUUCAGUUUAAUUUAUUUAAGGCAAAACUAGCAGACCUGCCUGUUAAGACCAAGAUGGUAGAAUAGGCAUCUGAGACAAGCAAAUAAAUACCACCUUAUAACCAUUGUUAUCAUCCUAACAUUUCUUCCAAAACUUGAAAAAUAAAACCAAGAAACUUGACAGCCUAAGAGAUAAUUUAAGAAUAAACAAUAUCACUGGCUACAAGAAAGAAAACUAAAAUCUAAAAAUUUGAUGGCCUGGCUAGAUGAUAAGGAGCCUGGGUUAUCUAUGGUAACAUUUCACAAUAUUUUCAAACAGACCUUAUAAAGUAAACAAAAGCCACUAAAUUCUGCUCUUUGUUUAUGCAACAUUUUGUGGGGGUUAAUUAUGGCCAAGGUUGCCAUAAGUCUUGAUAAAGCUAGUAUCAACAAGGGUUAUUUAUGCCAAUACUGUAAACCAUCAUGGCUGAUGAACUGAGUCAUUCCUUAUAAGCA